UAGCUAGUUGGUAGGGUAAAGGCCUACCAAGGCGACGAUCGGUAGCUGGUCUGAGAGGAUGGCCAGCCACACUGGAACUGAGACACGGUCCAGACUCCUACGGGAGGCAGCAGUGGGGAAUAUUGGACAAUGGGGGCAACCCUGAUCCAGCAAUGCCGCGUGUGUGAAGAAGGCCUGAGGGUUGUAAAGCACUUUCAGUGGGGAGGAGGGUUGAUUGGUUAAGAGCUGGUUAAUUGGACGUUACCCACAGAAGAAGCACCGGCUAACUCCGUGCCAGCAGCCGCGGUAAUACGGAGGGUGCGAGCGUUAAUCGGAAUUACUGGGCGUAAAGGGUGCGUAGGUGGUUUAUUAAGUUAUGUGUAAAAUCCCUGGGCUCAACCUGGGCAGGUCAUAUAAUACUGGUAGACUCGAGUAUGGGAGAGGGUAGUGGAAUUUCCGGUGUAGCGGUGAAAUGCGUAGAGAUCGGAAGAAACACCAGUGGCGAAGGCGGCUACCUGGCCUAAUACUGACACUGAGGCACGAAAGCGUGGGGAGUAAACAGGAUUAGAUACCCUGGUAGUCCACGCCGUAAACGAUGUCAACUAGCUGUUGGUUAUAUGAAUAUAAUUAGUGGCGC
rnacentral:rRNA from 1 species